rnacentral:rRNA from 1 species
UACGUAGGUGGCGAGCGUUGUCCGGAAUUACUGGGUGUAAAGGGCGUGUAGGCGGGGAUGUAAGUCAGAUGUGAAACUCCGAAGCUUAACUUCGGAACUGCAUCUGAAACUGUGUCUCUUGAGUGCUGGAGAGGAAAGCGGAAUUCCUAGUGUAGCGGUGAAAUGCGUAGAUAUUAGGAGGAACACCAGUGGCGAAGGCGGCUUUCUGGACAGUAACUGACGCUGAGGCGCGAAAGCGUGGGGAGCAAACAGGAUUAGAAACCCGAGUAGU